rnacentral:rRNA from 1 species
GGGUAGUUUGACUGGGGCGGUCUCCUCCUAAAGAGUAACGGAGGAGCACGAAGGUUGGCUAAUCCUGGUCGGACAUCAGGAGGUUAGUGCAAUGGCAUAAGCCAGCUUGACUGCGAGCGUGACGGCGCGAGCAGGUGCGAAAGCAGGUCAUAGUGAUCCGGUGGUUCUGAAUGGAAGGGCCAUCGCUCAACGGAUAAAAGGUACUCCGGGGAUAACAGGCUGAUACCGCCCAAGAGUUCAUAUCGACGGCGGUGUUUGGCACCUCGAUGUCGGCUCAUCACAUCCUGGGGCUGAAGUAGGUCCCAAGGGUAUGGCUGUUCGCCAUUUAAAGUGGUACGCGAGCUGGGUUUAGAACGUCGUGAGACAGUUCGGUCCCUAUCUGCCGUGGGCGCUGGAGAACUGAGGGGGGCUGCUCCUAGUACGAGAGGACCGGAGUGGACGCAUCACUGGUGUUCGGGUUGUCAUGCCAAUGGCACUGCCCGGUAGCUAAAUGCGGAAGAGAUAAGUGCUGAAAGCAUCUAAGCACGAAACUUGCCCCGAGAUGAGUUCUCCCUGAGACUUAGAGUCUCCUGAAGGAACGUUGAAGACGACGACGUUGAUAGGCCGGGUGUGUAAGCGCAGCGAUGCGUUGAGCUAAC